CUUUAACACUAAACUAUAACUUUUUUAAGAUUGAAUCCAUUUCUAUAUAAAUUUCAAUCUGGGUUCAAUGAGGCAUACUAUUUCAGAUGGAAAUUUCGAUAACAGAAUUGAGAACUGGGUCUGCACAACUGUUUGAUGUGUGAUGCCGUGUGGUAUGUAAAAGAUGCACAUGACAUUAACUGCACACUUGUACAUAUUAGCAAGAUUUAAGCUUAAGAACAUGCUAUGUAUGUGUAACACUAUUGAGAUGCUUAUUUUGUACAUCGAUUUAUAUAUAUAUAUAUUCUCUUAAAUAGUUAUCAAUGCCAUUGUAUCUGCAAUUAAUAAUUUCGCAGUUUCUGUUUUGCUUCCACCUUAAAACAA